CCUUACCUACUCUUGACAUCUCAGAANCCAGCGGAGACGCAGGUGUGCCUUCGGGAACUGUAAGACAGGUGCUGCAUGGCUGUCGUCAGCUCGUGUUGUGAAAUGUUGGGUUAAGUCCCGCAACGAGCGCACCCCUUAUCCUUGUUUGCCAGCACUUCGGGUGGGAACUCCAGGGAGACUCCCGGUGAUAAACCGGAGGAAGGUGGGGACGACGUCAAGUCAUCAUGGCCCUUACGAGUAGGGCUACAUACGUGCUACAAUGGCGCAUACAGAGGGCGGCCAACUUGUGAAAGUGAGCGAAUCCCAAAAAGUGCGUCGUAGUCCGGAUUGGAGUCUGCAACUCGACUCCANGAAGUCGGAAUCGCUAGUAAUCGUGGAUCAGAAUGCCACGGUGAAUACGUUCCCGGGCCUUGUACACACCCCCCGUCNCACCAUGGGAGUGGUCUGCAAAAGAAGUGGGUAGUUUAACCUUCGGGAGGACGCUCACCACUUUGUGGUUCAUGACUGGGGUGUAGUCGUNACAAGGUAACCG
rnacentral:rRNA from 1 species